GGUUGUGCCCUUGAGGCGUGGCUUCCGGAGCUAACGCGUUAAGUAGACCGCCUGGGGAGUACGGCCGCAAGGUUAAAACUCAAAUGAAUUGACGGGGGCCCGCACAAGCGGUGGAGCAUGUGGUUUAAUUCGAUGCAACGCGAAGAACCUUACCUGGUCUUGACAUCCACAGAAGAAUCCAGAGAUGGAUUUGUGCCUUCGGGAACUGUGAGACAGGUGCUGCAUGGCUGUCGUCAGCUCGUGUUGUGAAAUGUUGGGUUAAGUCCCGCAACGAGCGCAACCCUUAUCCUUUGUUGCCAGCGGUCCGGCCGGGAACUCAAAGGAGACUGCCAGUGAUAAACUGGAGGAAGGUGGGGAUGACGUCAAGUCAUCAUGGCCCUUACGACCAGGGCUACACACGUGCUACAAUGGCGCAUACAAAGAGAAGCGACCUCGCGAGAGCAAGCGGACCUCAUAAAGUGCGUCGUAGUCCGGAUUGGAGUCUGCAACUCGACUCCAUGAAGUCGGAAUCGCUAGUAAUCGUGGAUCAGAAUGCCACGGUGAAUACGUUCCCGGGCCUUGUACACACCGCCCGUCACACCAUGGGAGUGGGUUGCAAAAGAAGUAGGUAGCUUAACCUUCGGGAGGGCGCUUACCACUUUGUGAUUCAUGACUGGGGUGAAGUCGUAACAAGGUAACCGUAGGGGAACCUGC
rnacentral:rRNA from 1 species